rnacentral:rRNA from 1 species
GAUGAACGCUGGCGGCGUGCUUAACACAUGCAAGUCGAACGAGAAGUGAAGACGGAAACCUUCGGGCGGAAGGCUUUAUUUCGAGUGGCGGACGGGUGAGUAACGCGUGGGUAACCUGCCUCAUACAGGGGGAUAACAGUUGGAAACGACUGUUAAUACCGCAUAAGACCACCGCACCGCAUGGUGCGGGGGUAAAAACUCCGGUGGUAUGAGAUGGACCCGCGUUCGAUUAGCCAGUUGGCGGGGUAACGGCCCACCAAAGCGACGAUCGAUAGCCGAUCUGAGAGGAUGACCGGCCACAUUGGGACUGAGACACGGCCCAAACUCCUACGGGAGGCAGCAGUGGGGAAUAUUGCACAAUGGGGGAAACCCUGAUGCAGCGACGCCGCGCGAGUGAAGAAGUAUUUCGGUAUGUAAAGCUCUAUCAGCAGGGAAGAAAAUGACGGUACCUGAGUAAGAAGCCCCGGCUAACUACGUG